rnacentral:lncRNA from 1 species
CUUUUGGGAAAGAUCUAGGUUUUAUCUUUUGUGGAAAGAAUAAUUGAUUAUCUCUUGCAACAUCAAUCAUUGGAUCAUGUCAUGCACAGAUCUCAAAACACUCUAAUUUUUUUUCUUCUUUCCUACUACAUAGAUCCAAAGCAAUAUCUGCACGAUCCAAUGGUUAACAUCACAAAAGAAGAUAAAUCAUUCUUUUGCGCGCAAAAGAUACGACCCAAAUCCUCUUUGGAAUCAAUCCUG